CCCAUUAUAAAUGUAGAACAAACAAAGCAAGAGUGGGCCUGACAUCGCAUGCACGAGCCAUAAAAUUCAUGGGUGUAAUUGUGACAGAGCAUCACAAGGGUAGUACAAAAUGCGAGUGUCCGAUCAGUGGUUGAGUUGGAGUUCUCUUAUAAAGAUUAAGGGGGCAAAAAGUCUGUUAAGCCUAUCCACCUUUUUGCUCCCUAUGAUGGACAUGGCCAAGUGUCCACUGUCCACUCCUUUUUACCCUUUGAUGCAGAAAGCCAUCCCGUCCUCAUCACAAGACUAAUUUCGUACACCAUACAUCAUUGUUAUGUACUCGGAUGAUCAUUUUUGUCCCCAAG
rnacentral:lncRNA from 1 species